rnacentral:rRNA from 1 species
GCUACGGCCAUACCAGCCUGGGUACGCCCGAUCUCGUCUGAUCUCAGAAGCUAAGCAGGGUCGGGCCUGGUUAGUACUUGGAUGGGAGACCGCCUGGGAAUACCAGGUGCUGUAAGCA